UACGAAGGUGGCAAGCGUUGUUCGGAUUUACUGGGCGUACAGGGAGCGUAGGCGGUUGGAUAAGCCCUCCGUGAAAUCUCCAGGCUUAACCUGGAAAGUGCAGAGGGGACUGUUCAGCUAGAGGAUGGGAGAGGAGCGCGGAAUUCCCGGUGUAGCGGUGAAAUGUGUAGAGAUCGGGAGGAAGGCCGGUGGCGAAGGCGGCGCUCUGGAACAUUUCUGACGCUGAGGCUCGAAAGCGUGGGGAGCAAACAGG
rnacentral:rRNA from 1 species